AUUGAACGCUGGCGGCAGGCCUAACACAUGCAAGUCGAACGGUAACAGGAAGAAGCUUGCUUCUUUGCUGACGAGUGGCGGACGGGUGAGUAAUGUCUGGGAAACUGCCUGAUGGAGGGGGAUAACUACUGGAAACGGUAGCUAAUACCGCAUAACGUCGCAAGACCAAAGAGGGGGACCUUCGGGCCUCUUGCCAUCGGAUGUGCCCAGAUGGGAUUAGCUAGUAGGUGGGGUAACGGCUCACCUAGGCGACGAUCCCUAGCUGGUCUGAGAGGAUGACCAGCCACACUGGAACUGAGACACGGUCCAGACUCCUACGGGAGGCAGCAGUGGGGAAUAUUGCACAAUGGGCGCAAGCCUGAUGCAGCCAUGCCGCGUGUAUGAAGAAGGCCUUCGGGUUGUAAAGUACUUUCAGCGGGGAGGAAGGGAGUAAAGUUAAUACCUUUGCUCAUUUACGUUACCCGCAGAAGAAGCACCGGCUAACUCCGUG
rnacentral:rRNA from 1 species